rnacentral:rRNA from 1 species
UACGUAGGGGGCAAGCGUUGUCCGGAAUUAUUGGGCGUAAAGAGCGUGUAGGCGGUCCGGUAAGUCAGCUGUGAAAGUCAAGGGCUCAACCCUUGAAUGCCGGUUGAUACUGUCGGGCUAGAGCCCGGAAGAGGCGAGUGGAAUUCCCGGUGUAGCGGUGAAAUGCGCAGAUAUCAGGAGGAACACCGGUGGCGAAGGCGGGUCUCUGGGCCGAUACUGACGCUGAGGAGCGAAAGCGUGGGGAGCGAACAGG